rnacentral:rRNA from 1 species
GCGACCCCAGGUCANGCGGGACUAC